GCCUGGGUAGUUCAGUCGGUUAAGCGUCCGACUUUGGCUCAGAUCAUGAUCUCACUAUUUGUGGGUUCAAGUCCCGUGUCAGGCU
rnacentral:tRNA from 1 species